rnacentral:rRNA from 1 species
UACGGAGGGGGCUAGCGUUGUUCGGAAUUACUGGGCGUAAAGCGCACGUAGGCGGAUUGGAAAGUUGGGGGGUGAAAUCCCGGGGGCUCAACCCCGGAACUGCCUUCAAAACUCCCAGUCUGGAGGUCGAGAGAGGUGAGUGGAAUUCCGAGUGUAGAGGUGAAAUUCGUAGAUAUUCGGAGGAACACCAGUGGCGAAGGCGGCUCACUGGCUCGAUACUGACGCUGAGGUGCGAAAGCGUGGGGAGCAAACAGG